rnacentral:rRNA from 1 species
UACGAAGGGGGCUAGCGUUGCUCGGAAUUACUGGGCGUAAAGGGCGCGUAGGCGGAUAGUUUAGUCAGAUGUGAAAGCCCCGGGCUCAACCUGGGAAUUGCAUUUGAGACUGCGUAGCUAGGGUGCGGAAGAGGGAAGCGGAAUUUCCGGUGUAGCGGUGAAAUGCGUAGAUAUCGGAAGGAACACCAGUGGCGAAAGCGGCUUCCUGGUCCAGCACCGACGUUCAGGCACGAAAGCGUGGGGAGCAAACAGG